UUUAUGCGAAAUCGUCUACUGGCAUUACCAUCUCUCAAAACAUUUUCCUGGACUUUUAACUAAAGAUUUUUUCCAUUGUAAUGGGCACAAGUGCAAUUUCCCUUUCAUUUUAAGAGACUGUGAGAAGUAACAAAUCAGUACCAGCACCUAUAGAUAGCAUGUUGUAGAAAAUGGCAAGAAUAUGGGUGAUGGUCUUGUUUUCCCAAGCUGCUACAGAGCUUCUGCAGCUCCAAGCAUGACCACUAUAUUUGGCUGCUUAAAAGCAUAACAAGGGCAGAAAUCAUAAAGGCUUUGCCCAGAGGGCCUUGAUUGUCCUUGCCUUCUUGUCCUUUGGUGAGAACUUCAUUGGUGGUGGCUCCAAAAAUCAGGAGACUUUCUGUGAUGAAUUCACCAUAAGAACGUGGGACCCAGCCUCCCUUGAAGGACGUAAGUACCCAAUAUCUGAAGA
rnacentral:lncRNA from 1 species